rnacentral:misc_RNA from 1 species
GAUGAAGAACGCAGCGAAAUGCGAUACGUAAUGUGAAUUGCAAAUUCAGUGAAUCAUCGAGUCUUUGAACGCACAUUGCGCCCCCUGGUAUUCCGGGGGGCAUGCCUGUCCGAGCGUCAUUGCUGCCCUCAAGCACGGCUUGUGUGUUGGGCCCCGUCCUCCGAUCCCGGGGGACGGGCCCGAAAGGCAGCGGCGGCACCGCGUCCGGUCCUCGAGCGUAUGGGGCUUUGUCACCCGCUCUGUAGGACCGGCCGGCGCUUGCCGAUCAACCCAAAUUUUUUAUCCAGGUUGACCUCGGAUCAGGUAGGGAUACCCGCUGAACUUAAGCAUAUCAAUAAGCGGAGGA